CAAAGGCUUGGUCCUGACUUUGCUAUCAACUCUAGCUAAACUUACACAUGCAAGUAUCCGCACUCCCGUGAGAAUGCCCUACCGUUUCCUGACUGGAGACAAGGAGCCGGUAUCAGGCACAAACAUAUUAGCCCACGACGCCUUGCUUAGCCACACCCCCAAGGGAAUUCAGCAGUGAUAAAUAUUAAGCCAUAAGUGAAAGCUUGACUUAGUUAGUGCUAAGAGGGCCGGUAAAUCUCGUGCCAGCCACCGCGGUUAUACGAGAGACCCAAGUUGAUAGCCCUCGGCGUAAAGAGUGGUUAAGAUAUAUACAUGGACUAAAGCUGAACAACCUCAAAGCUGUUAUACGCAUAUGAAUAAACGAAACUCAAUUACGAAAGUGGCUUUACCUUACCUGACUCCACGAAAGCUAAGAUACAAACUGGGAUUAGAUACCCCACUAUGCUUAGCCCUAAACAUUGAUAGUACACUACCUAUAUUAUCCGCCCGGGGACUACGAGCAUUAGCUUAAAACCCAAAGGACUUGGCGGUGCUUUAGAUCCACCUAGAGGAGCCUGUUCUAGAACCGAUAAUCCCCGUUUAACCUCACCUUUUCUUGUCUUGUCCGCCUAUAUACCGCCGUCGUCAGCUUACCCUGUGAAGACCCUAUAGUAAGCAAAACCGGCACAGCCAAAAACGCCAGGUCGAGGUGUAGCGAAUGAGAAGGGAAGAAAUGGGCUACAUUCAAUAACCUUUAAUGAACACGAAUGGUAUUCUGAAAAGAAUACCUGAAGGAGGAUUUAGUAGUAAGUGGGGAACAGAGAGCUCUGCUGAAAUUGGCCCUGAAGCGCGUACACACCGCCCGUCACUCUCCCCGAGACUCACAAAUGUAUAUUACUAAUAAGAUAAAAUUGCAAAGGGGAGGCAAGUCGUAACAUGGUAAGUGUACCGGAAGGUGCGCUUGGUAAAAC
rnacentral:ncRNA from 1 species